rnacentral:rRNA from 1 species
AGUGAACGCUGGCGGUAGGCCUAACACAUGCAAGUCGAACGGCAGCACAGUAAGAGCUUGCUCUUACGGGUGGCGAGUGGCGGACGGGUGAGGAAUACAUCGGAAUCUACUUUUUCGUGGGGAUAACGUAGGGAAACUUACGCUAAUACCGCAUACGACCUACGGGUGAAAGCAGGGGAUCUUCGGACCUUGCGCGAUUGAAUGAGCCGAUGUCGGAUUAGCUAGUUGGCGGGGUAAAGGCCCACCAAGGCGACGAUCCGUAGCUGGUCUGAGAGGAUGAUCAGCCACACUGGAACUGAGGCACGGUCCAGACUCCUACGGGAGGCAGCAGUGGGGAAUAUUGGACAAUGGGCGCAAGCCUGAUCCAGCCAUACCGCGUGGGUGAAGAAGGCCUUCGGGUUGUAAAGCCCUUUUGUUGGGAAAGAAAAGCAGCAGGUUAAUACCCCGCUGUUCUGACGGUACCCAAAGAAUAAGCACCGGCUAACUUCGUG